rnacentral:tRNA from 6 species
CAUUAGGUGACUGAAAG